GUGGGUAUAGCUCAGUGGUAGAGCAGGUUCUUAUCAUGCAUGAGGUCCUGGGUUCAAUCCCUAGUACCUCCA
rnacentral:tRNA from 1 species